rnacentral:rRNA from 1 species
GAUGAACGCUAGCGGCAGGCUUAAUACAUGCAAGUCGAGGGGUAACAGGGAAGCUUGCUUCCGCUGACGACCGGCGCACGGGUGCGUAACGCGUAUGCAACCUACCUCUAACUGGGGAAUAGCCCCGAGAAAUCGGGAUUAAUACCUCAUAAUAUUUAUCAUUCGCAUGUUUGAUAAAUUAAAGUUUCGACGGUAAGAGAUGGGCAUGCGUGACAUUAGUUUGUUGGUGAGGUAACGGCUCACCAAGACUACGAUGUCUAGGGGUUCUGAGAGGAUUUUCCCCCACACUGGUACUGAGACACGGACCAGACUCCUACGGGAGGCAGCAGUAAGGAAUAUUGGGCAAUGGACGAAAGUCUGACCCAGCCAUGCCGCGUGCAGGAUGACUGCCCUAUGGGUUGUAAACUGCUUUUGUAUAGGAAGAAACCCUUCUACGUGUAGAGGGCUGACGGUACUAUACGAAUAAGCACCGGCUAACUCCG